rnacentral:rRNA from 1 species
GUAAGUCUCAGCUCGGAUUNAAGGCUGAAAUUCGCCUUCAUGAAGCCGGAAUUGCUAGUAAUGGCAGGUCAGCAUACUGCCGUGAAUACGUUCCCGGGCCUUGUACACACCGCCCGUCACACCAUGAGAGUUGGGAAUACCCGAAGCCUGUGAGCUAACCGUAAGGGGGCAGCAGUCGAAGGUAGAAUCAAUGAUUGGGGUGAAGUCGUAACAAGGUACC